rnacentral:SRP_RNA from 1 species
ACCAGAUGCAGUGGUGUGUGCCUGUAGUCCCAGCCACUUGGGAGGCUGACGCAGGAGCAUUUCUUGAGCCCAGGAGCUUGCGGCUGUAAUGCGCUGUGCAGAUCGGGUGUUCCACAAUGAGCUGGGCAUCAGUGUGAUGACUUCCCGGGAGUGGGAGACCACCAAGUGGUGUAAGGAGGGGUGAACUGGCCCCAAGGUUGGAAAUGGAGCAGGUCAAAAUUCCCGGUGCUAAUCAGUAGUGGGAUCACACCUGUGAAUAGCUGCGGCACUCCAGCCUGGGCAACAUAGGGAGAUUCUAUCUCUU